rnacentral:rRNA from 1 species
GAUGAACGCUGGCGGCGUGCCUAAUACAUGCAAGUCGAGCGAGCAGACGAGGAGCUUGCUCCUCUGACGUUAGCGGCGGACGGGUGAGUAACACGUGGAUAACCUACCUAUAAGACUGGGAUAACUUCGGGAAACCGGAGCUAAUACCGGAUAAUAUAUUGAACCGCAUGGUUCAAUAGUGAAAGACGGUUUUGCUGUCACUUAUAGAUGGAUCCGCGCCGCAUUAGCUAGUUGGUAAGGUAACGGCUUACCAAGGCGACGAUGCGUAGCCGACCUGAGGGGGUGAUCGGCCACACUGGAACUGAGACACGGUCCAGACUCCUACGGGAGGCAGCAGUAGGGAAUCUUCCGCAAUGGGCGAAAGCUUGACGGAGCAACGCCGCGUGAGUGAUGAAGGUCUUCGGAUCGUAAAACUCUGUUAUUAGGGAAGAACAAAUGUGUAAGUAACUAUGCACGUCUUGACGGUACCUAAUCAGAAAGCCACGGCUAACUACGUG